GGGGUUGUGGCCCAGUGGUGCAGCGCUUGCCUAGCAUGCAUGAGGCACUGGGUUCGAUCCCCAGCACCACA
rnacentral:tRNA from 1 species